AAAGAAACCAACAGGGAUUGCCUCAGUAACGGCGAGUGAAGCGGCAAGAGCUCAAAUUUGAAAGCUGGCUCCUUCGGGGUCCGCAUUGUAAUUUGCAGAGGAUGCUUCGGGAGCGGCCCCCAUCUAAGUGCCCUGGAACGGGCCGUCAUAGAGGGUGAAAAUCCCGUCUGGGAUGGGGUGUCCGCGCCCGUGUGAAGCUCCUUCGACGAGUCGAGUUGUUUGGGAAUGCAGCUCUAAAUGGGUGGUAAAUUUCAUCUAAAGCUAAAUAUUGGCCGGAGACCGAUAGCGCACAAGUAGAGUGAUCGAAAGAUGAAAAGCACUUUGAAAAGAGAGUUAAACAGCACGUGAAAUUGUUGAAAGGGAAGCGCUUGCGACCAGACUCGCCCACGGGGUUCAGCCGGCAUUCGUGCCGGUGUACUUCCCCGCGGGCGGGCCAGCGUCGGUUUGGGCGGCCGGUCAAAGGCCCUCGGAAUGUAACGCCCCCCGGGGCGUCUUAUAGCCGAGGGUGCCAUGCGGCCAGCCCAGACCGAGGAACGCGCUUCGGCUCGGACGCUGGCAUAAUGGUCGUAAGCGACC
rnacentral:rRNA from 1 species